rnacentral:lncRNA from 1 species
CUGUCUUUAUAGCAUUCACACAGAGUUGCCAGGGGAAGGCAAAGCAUUUUUGGAGCCCCUCUUUGGAGAAAUAACAGUCACUACAAGUUACAGAUAAUGAGGAAGACACAUGUGGAGGAGGAAUCCAAAGUUUAUUUCUCCAUGAAUGAGGCGGGCUUUCUAGAGACUUGGUUCACCAGUGACUCUUGUCAUUGGUCUUGUGGGUCCUGUCCCUCUCUUCCAGGACGCUGGCUUCUGUAUCACAGCCAGCUGGAAGAUACUCUUCACAGAGAUAGAAUCCGUGCAGCUAGAGAGGGGGUGCAUUAGUCCUGCCUCCCCUGAAUAUGUCCUUGACUGACUGGUGAGAGCUGCUAGGGAGUUGACAGAGGGCAAGGACAAUGACACAAGCACCUGCUAGGCUCCAGAGCACCAGGGACAUAGGGCAGGAUGCUCCCAUUUGAUGUUCGUUAAGGUGCUCUGGCAGGGCGAGGGAACAGUCUGACAUAUCUCUCUUUGGAAGCAGGAAUCCCCCGGCCCCCUCACCCAUCCGAGCUGUCACCGUAUUACCCACUCUCUCCCGGAGCUGUCGGACAAAUCCCCCACCCCCUCGGCUGGCUCGUCCCACAGCAAGGCCAGCCCAUGUACUCCCUUCCUCCCGGUGGCUUCCGGCACCCUUACCCCGCCCUCGCCAUGAACGCCUCGAUGUCCAGGUGAGUCCCGGGGCUGGGGCUGUCCG